GUCGGGCAUGGUGGCUCAUGCCUGUAAUCCCAGCACUUUGGGAGGCCGAGGCAGGCGGAUCACCUGAGGUCAGGAGUUCCAGACCAGCCUGGCCAACAUGGUGAAACCCUGUCUCUA
rnacentral:SRP_RNA from 1 species